rnacentral:snoRNA from 1 species
AGGGUAGUGAUGACCAACCUUUUGUACCAUCAAAUUCUGAUGGCGCGUGGAGCGUCCUGACGACUGUUUUCAGCCUUGUCUGAGCCCU